ensembl:miRNA Mir30b microRNA 30b
CUAAGCCAAGUUUCAGUUCAUGUAAACAUCCUACACUCAGCUGUCAUACAUGAGUUGGCUGGGAUGUGGAUGUUUACGUCAGCUGUCUUGGAGUAU